rnacentral:hammerhead_ribozyme from 1 species
AUCCAGCUGAUGAGUCCCAAAAAUAGGACGAAACGCGCUUCCUGGAU